rnacentral:rRNA from 1 species
UACGUAGGGUGCAAGCGUUGUCCGGAAUUAUUGGGCGUAAAGAGCUCGUAGGCGGUUUGUCGCGUCGGCUGUGAAAACUCGGGGGCUCAACCCCGAGCCUGCAGUCGAUACGGGCAGACUAGAGUGCUGUAGGGGAGACUGGAAUUCCUGGUGUAGCGGUGAAAUGCGCAGAUAUCAGGAGGAACACCGGUGGCGAAGGCGGGUCUCUGGGCAGUAACUGACGCUGGAGGAGCGAAAGCGUGGGGAGCGAACAGG